AUUGAACGCUGGCGGCAGGCCUAACACAUGCAAGUCGAGCGGGCGGCCGACGGGCGAGUGAUGUAUGGGGACUGCCCGAUAGAGGGGGAUAACUACUAGAAACGGUGGCUAAUACCUCAUACUCUCGGAUAAUCCACAUGGGAGUAGCUAGUGGGUAAGGUAAUGGCUUACCUAGGCGACGAUCCCUAGCUGGUCUGAGAGGAUGAUCAGCCACACUGGGACUGAGACACGGCCCAGACUCCUACGGAGGCAGCAGUGGGGAAUAUUGCACAAUGGGCGCAAGCCUGAUGCAGCCAUGCCGCGUGUAUGAAGAAGGCCCUAGGGUUGUAAAGUACUUUCAGUCGGGAGGCGUUACCGGCAGAAGAAGCACCGGCUAACUCCGUGCCAGCAGCCGCGGUAAUUC
rnacentral:rRNA from 1 species